CGGGGCCAAACUCAAUGUCUGAUGAGCAGCCAACAUGAGAACGGGGCCACCUCCAAACACCCAGACACCUCCAACUGUCAGAUCAUCGCCUGUCAACUCAGAGUAAACUCAUGGAGAAAUUGGGGCGAGCGCUAACCUCAAGAUCGGGCAACAUAUGGAACCCAAAGAAAGAAGCGAAGGAGGCCCCGGGCCCACAGCACAGUGUAUGGGAAAAUGACAUUUCUGACAGCAAAGUGGUUAAUCACAGGGAGGGGUGUUCAGAGCCUCCCAGGACCGACUUCCUGCAAGUCUGCAUCAGACGGUCCACUGCGCCACUAGUGGGAACUUCUACUUCAAAACACCAGCUGUGGGCCCUGUGUUCUUUUCAAACAAAGGGCCCUGGAUUUGAACAGAAUGCUUUGCUUUCAACCCUUAGUUUGUUUUGCAGUAGGGAGUGAGAGUAACCCGAGGUCCCAAAGUCAAAGGCCAAUUACGUCUGCAUUGUCUUUGAAACCAUGCAACUAUUUUAAAUGUAUUAUUUGCAUGACAGUCGGU
rnacentral:lncRNA from 1 species